GACAGAGGAGCCAAGCGUUGUCCGGAUUGACUGGGCGUAAAGCGCACGCAGGCGGAUGCGCGCGUGGGGUGUGAAAUCUGGCCGCUUAACGGCCAGGCGCCAUCCCAUACGGCGCGUCUGGAGUGAUGCAGAGGUCGAUGGAAUUGCCGGUGUAGUGGUGAAAUGCGUAGAGAUCGGCAGGAACACCCAGGGGGAAACCAGCCGACUGGGCAUCGACUGACGCUGAGGUGCGAGAGCGUGGGGAGCGAACCGG
rnacentral:rRNA from 1 species